rnacentral:rRNA from 1 species
UACGUAGGGUGCGAGCGUUAAUCGGAAUACUGGGCGUAAAGCGUGCGCAGGCGGUUUUGUAAGUCAGAUGUGAAAUCCCCGGGCUCAACCUGGGAACUGCGUUUGAAACUACAAGGCUAGAGUGUAGCAGAGGGGGGUAGAAUUCCACGUGUAGCAGUGAAAUGCGUAGAGAUGUGGAGGAAUACCAAUGGCGAAGGCAGCCCCCUGGGUUAACACUGACGCUCAUGCACGAAAGCGUGGGGAGCAAACGAGG